GUCAUAAUCGUCUGGACCAUAUAUGAUAAUUGUUUAAUGGUAGUUAUUGAUAGAUCUUGAAGAUGUCAAGUUAUAGGUGCAUAUAGCACGUUCAUUGUAAGAGGGGAAGAGAUGCUGUGUAUUUUGGGCUAACUCAAAUUCCGUAGUAGAAAAACCCCGGAAGUGGGAUGGGCGCAUUCUGUGUUGUUGUGGUACGCCCUGUGAACGCACUGUGAGUAAGGAAUAAAGCGGUUAUCAUUCACGUCGUUGUCCGACCUAUUCUUGCUAUCUAAGAACCUGGAAAAUAGUAACGAUAUGACAUAUAUCACGGGUCAUUACGACGAGUUUGGUGGAGUUUUUACUGCUUCUUCCAACUCCUACCGCGCUGACUGCUUCAAGUCAUUCGUUUGGAAGCACUUUGGAUUCCAAAGAAAAGAUGGCUCAACGGACAAGACACGUGCAGUUUGUAAAUUCUGCCAUGUGGUGAUCAAAUAUUCAGGGACCACAAAUCUCGCCGCACAUUUAAAGAAAAAACACGAUAUCAAAGUUCAAUGUUAAAAUAAGCACUUUGUAUACUACAAUACUCUUGUAAUUUCCUAAAUAAAGAGUUUGCAGUA